GUGGGGAAUCUUGCGCAAUGGGCGAAAGCCUGACGCAGCCAUGCCGCGUGAAUGAUGAAGGUCUUAGGAUUGUAAAAUUCUUUCACCGGGGACGAUAAUGACGGUACCCGGAGAAGAAGCCCCGGCUAACUUCGUGCCAGCAGCCGCGGUAAUACGAAGGGGGCUAGCGUUGCUCGGAAUUACUGGGCGUAAAGGGCGCGUAGGCGGAUCGUUAAGUCGGGGGUGAAAUCCCAGAGCUCAACCUUGGAAUUGCCUUUGAUACUGGCUGUCUUGAGUUUGGGAGAGGUGAGUGGAACUCCGAGUGUAGAGGUGAAAUUCGUAGAUAUUCGGAAGAACACCAGUGGCGAAGGCGACUCACUGGCCCAAUACUGACGCUGAGGCGCGAAAGCGUGGGGAGCAAACAGGAUUAGAUACCCUAGUAGUCC
rnacentral:rRNA from 1 species